rnacentral:miRNA from 1 species
CAGUGCCUCUGCAGUGCAGCC